rnacentral:tRNA from 1 species
CCCACCGUAGCUCAAUCUGGCAGAGCAUCUCGCUGUAGACGAGAGGGUUGCUGGUUCAAAUCCGGCCGGUGGGA